UCUCUGUUAGUGUAUCGGUUUAGUACACGCGCCUGUCAUAGCUCUCCAGCUUCGGACGCGCGAAAGCGGGGUUCGACUCCCCGACAGAGAG